CCUACGGGAGGCAGCAGUGGGGAAUAUUGGACAAUGGGGGCAACCCUGAUCCAGCCAUGCCGCGUGUGUGAAGAAGGCCCUCGGGUUGUAAAGCACUUUCAGUGAGGAAGAACGCCUGGUGGUUAAUACCCAUCAGGAAAGACAUCACUCACAGAAGAAGCACCGGCUAACUCCGUGCCAGCAGCCGCGGUAAUACGGAGGGUGCGAGCGUUAAUCGGAAUUACUGGGCGUAAAGCGCGCGUAGGUGGCUUGAUAAGCCGGUUGUGAAAGCCCCGGGCUCAACCUGGGAACGGCAUCCGGAACUGUCAAGCUAGAGUGCAGGAGAGGAAGGUAGAAUUCCCGGUGUAGCGGUGAAAUGCGUAGAGAUCGGGAGGAAUACCAGUGGCGAAGGCGGCCCUCUGGACUGACACUGACACUGAGGUGCGAAAGCGUGGGUAGCAAACAGGAUUAGAUACCCCUGUAGUC
rnacentral:rRNA from 1 species